GAUCCCCAACGCUCACCAAGGUAAGGGAUAAGUGGCUCUAAUUCAUACUCACUUAUGUGAAUGAGGUAAAUGAAGGAUUUUGAGGAUGAAGCUCAAUUAGGAAGCUUUUGUGUUUAUUUACUCGAUUGUCUUUAUUGCUAUUUGAUAUUGUAGUUGAUUUGAUAGUAUUUUGGGAUAAAUGUAAUCUGAUUAGGAUAAUAUGGUGACAUGCAGUUAUGGACGUUAUAACUCUGGAAAACCCAUAACUGGACGUAUGUGAUAAAGGCUAUCUGAAUGAAU